rnacentral:tRNA from 1 species
AAAUAAAUAUCUAAAUUUUAAGUAUAUCAUUUACAAUGAUAAGAUGUUAUAUUAAUUAACUUUAUUUA